GUAGACGGAGACGCCCGAUGCAGGGCGCAGCUCGGCAGAGCCCCUGCAAACUUGUUUCUUUUCGAGAGCAAGGGAUUUGGGGUCACAGUAGAUACCGGGUUCAAAUGCUAAUUUCGGUCUACUUAGCCUAGUCACCCGGCCGUGCUUAAGGCCCCCGGUAUGGGGCCGCCUCGGCGGCCCGGGCACUCCGGGUGCUAGAGAGGUUCUGCCUGCUGGUAGGAGGCGGUUAGUCAGUGAAAGAGCCACAGGGGAGGCAUUAAUGAAGUCAGCUGCAUCUAGUAUAUUCUAGCUACACCAUCUCCUAAGGAAUUUGUCAGAGAGCUCAACUCAAGGCUGCCAGUUUUCACAAUUCCAGGGAGCACCACUCACAUGACAGGACUGAGGCAACACUGGUUCCGAAACUUUAACAUGACUUCAAUAAUAGUGACAAAGACAAGGAUGAAGCUGCUUACCUGCAGGAUGAAGUGUUAUCUGCAAAAUGACAUAAAAAGGAAUAGAAGAACCCUGGAUUCUUCAUGACAUUGUUAUACAACUACAUCUAUCAACCCUGCCCUACCUCUGAACUUCCUUGUUACAUGACAUAAUAAAUUUCCUUAUUGUCUGAGUCUUACGUACAGUGUGAGUAGGUUUUAUUAAUUAUUUACAGACAAAGCAUUCUAACUAAAUGUUAAUGCCACUUGGUAAUACUGAUUUUCCCCAGAUGCUAAUAGAACGCUUUCUGUAACCCAUCCUGUACUUUCCAAGUCCUUAGAGAAUUUUCUG